AUGCCAGGACUUCUCUUGACAGUGCUGCUCAUCUCUCUUCUCGCCAAAGAAACAUAUGUUGCCACAUCACUGGAUGAUGAAAACUUCUUCAAGAGUUGUUCACCAAGUCGGUGCAGCAAACAUGGACCAGAGGUCCGUUUCCCAUUCAGGCUUGCAACCCAACCUCCGCCUUGUGGUGCACCAGGUAUGCAACUAUCAUGCUCUGGACAGGACACAAUCCUGUACCACCAAGUUCUUGGCUCCUGCAAAGUGACUGCAAUAUUUUACAAGGAUCUAGUCAUAAACAUCAGUCCGCCUGUAGACUCAUCACUUGACUGCCCGCUUCAGAGACUCAUCUCAGCAAAUCUAUCAACCGGUGCGUACAAACCUCAAAAGUUGGAUGUUGCCAGCUUAGUAGGUUGUUCAAGAGAUCCUAUACCAAUAGAUCUAUAUGGUAUAGUGGGCCCAGUCACUUGUCUCAUUAACAAGGCCAUCAAGUUCUGGUAUUUGGUGAACCCCGAUGCCUACAUGUCUGUUCUACCUUUGGACUGCAUGGUUGUUUCUAAGGACAUCACAAUACCAUAUACUAGUCAGAUUGAUUACUCAGACUUUUUCAUAAUACCAAAGAAGGUCGAACACACUGCAACCUUUGAGUAUAGGGCAAGCAAAAGCAUCAGCCUUGGUGAGACAGCAUUUUCUUGGUACUCUAGUAACAUUACUAGUGUUUGCCAACAGUGUGAAAAAAAAGGACAACGAUGUGGAUUUAACUCACAAAGGGAUCAAGCUUUCUGCAAGAGUCAUGGUAUGCAGGUGAUCCAAAUUGCAGCAUCAUCUGUAGCUGCAUUUGUAGCUCUUUCAUUGAUGUUAGCCACGACGAUCUACCUCUCACUGAAGUCAAGGUAUAAUGAAGAGAUAAAUAGGAAGGUCGAAAUAUUUCUCAAGGCAUAUGGGACAUCAAAACCUACAAGGUACACUUUCCCUGAAGUUAAGAAGAUAGCAAGACGGUUCAAGGAUAAAGUCGGCCAGGGCGGAUUUGGAAGUGUAUACAGAGGUGAGCUACCAAACAGAGUUCCUGUGGCAGUCAAGAUGCUAGAGAGCUCUACAGGAGAGGGGGAGGAAUUCAUCAAUGAAGUUGCAACCAUUGGACUAAUCCACCAUGCAAAUAUCGUCCGUCUUUUGGGCUUUUGCUCCGAAGGAAUGAGACGGGCUCUUAUUUACGAAUUCAUGCCUAACGAGUCACUGGAGAAAUACAUAUUCCCACAUGUUUCCAAUAUUUCUCGACAACUCCUAUCACCAAAAAAAAUGCUAGAUAUUGCUUUAGGCAUUGCCCGAGGGAUGGAAUAUCUGCACCAAGGCUGCAACCAGCGCAUCCUCCACUUUGACAUCAAGCCACAUAACAUCCUGCUGGACUACAACUUCAACCCAAAGAUCUCAGACUUUGGCCUUGCAAAGCUGUGUGCAAGGACCAGAGCAUCAUUACCUUAA
rnacentral:rRNA from 1 species